ensembl:lincRNA
GCAACUGGAUCGCACCCCUCAGCUGCAACAUUACGAAGAUUUUUCUGCCUUACCUUUUUAAAUCAGGGGCGCAGGAGUUCGCAGGUGUCUCCGGAUCCAAAUCUGGGGCUCUCAGUGUCACUUCGAACCCCAGAAAAUACUCAAGGAAGGCAGCAAAUUUCUAGCAGAAAAUCCAGGGUUGCUCUCGGCCUGAGAAGAGGGCUGCAGCUCCUCACUGCGUCAAGCAGGAAACUCAAAGAUCCAUUAAACAGAAGGAGUCAAGCUGCAAGCAGGACAAGAGCUCAUGGCUGGAGCUGCUCUUCCAGAUAAUUCUUGUCUGACCAAGUCUGGAGAAGAGCAAUAUUCACUUAGAGGGGCCUGUGAUAUUAAACAAAUGCAACUGUCUCCAAAGAAUUUUUACCAAUAGAAAUUGUGUUAUGAAGCAGUUGCUUGUCCACAGGGUGCAUGCCUUUGUGUACAGUCAAGCAACAGGUGGAGUUUAACAGGCAAGAAGCUUGUACAACAACUGCCAUGGCUAACGAUGAAGUACUGUAACCUACAGUAAAUUUAUGAUUGACAGCCAGUCUGAGCAGCCGGCACCUGCACAGGAAACACAUGUAGGCUCAAUAAAGAAACAGGAGGAUGAUCGCCUGUUAGAUGCACUCUUCCUACAUAAAGUGACCCCACCAAGAUACCUAAACAAUUUAGUUUAAGAAACAAUCCAAGAACACUAGUUUAUUACAAAACGAAACGGUACAGGCGUAACCCGGCGGCUAUUAUCCAGACGCUCCGGCGGUCCGCAAUCUGGAGCCCCGGGAAGGAAACGCUCCAGUCAGGACAGCCGGCCGAAGAGACGGUGGGCACCUGGGACCGCGAGGUGAGUCCGGUUGCUCUGUGGGAGCAACUGCUGCUGCUUGAACAGGGGAGAAAAAGCGUUUUUAAUAUAUAGUCGCAAGUUCUGGUCUCUCGCAUGAACCUAUACAAAAAGGUAGCACCACAUUUGAAAGGCAAAAAUAAGGUUUAUUCGCCGGGAGGUGUUCAACGGAGCAAAACCGUGUUUUACCCGUACUGACCAUUUCCCCGUGGAAUUUCCCCCACCCUCAGAUUAAGUGAGCGCAGCUGUGGGCUUCUUCACAAUCUACUGCUUUGCUAUACUGAGAAAAGUCAGUUAGUAUCUGGGAUUUCUCCGACUAAAACAUAAAGCUUUCUUUAAACCCGAAAGCAAGAGGCUCUCUAAGUAGAGUGGAGACCGGUUGGAUUCUCACCUUCGAACUGACCGCUCAUCUGUCCAGUUUCACACCACACGGGAGCUCUGCGCUUCGGCGUCCAGGCUGUUGUAGAGGACAGGAAGGCCGGGGAGCUGGAGAGGAGGAACAAGGGAAUAAGACACCUGCUGGAACGCCACUAACAGACCUGAGCAAGCACUAAAGAUACAGGUAGCCAUUUUAAAUAGCAGCAACAUUGAUCCGUUCCAUUUCGCCUGUUACAAAAAAAAAAAAGAAAGUUACUGGUUUAGUUUGAAUUCAACUUUUCUUUACAAGACAGAAGGCCUUUUCUAAAAUACAGUUACUGGCCGUCUUCUUAACUAUUCUGAAGCUCUGAUGCCUUUUCUCGUUUCGAACUGUUCCUAUCUAAAUAGGUAGAAACCGUGUCCGAUAUUCUGUUUCCCAAAUGAAGUGAAACAUCCCGGGAAUAUUUUCCCUCUUGCUGCAAAGCCGGUAUUUAAGGACAAAGACGCAAUACUGCUGCCAGAGGAAUUUUUAAAGGAGACUAAUUGAAGGCGGAUAAAGAUUAAUCACACCUGCCUCUGGACUGUUAAUUAAUCAGAAAUGUGUAAAACAUGGACUUGAUCCUGGAGUUGGCAUGGAUCCCUCAGUCUUUCCGACACAAGUAACUGGAGUCAAUCCCAUUCCAUACUUUUAACUACACCGCUGAUGAAAUAACCUUAUUGAAACUUUAAUUGAGGAUUUACGAUUUGUUUGCAGUUUAAUUCAAAAUACAAUAUUCAUCCCCAUCUAUCAUCAAUAGUAAAAGUUAGAAGUUAGCGACACCCUUGCGC